AAACCCCUUCACUGUUAAGAAGUUUUCCUUCACAAGUUUUAAGACCUAGCCGAAAGAACACGAAUUCAGACAUGGAUCGGUUUUGGGGAAAGAAUCAGUAAUGGACACAUACAAACUCGGUUGGGAAUCGGAUUCCCCCAACUUGCAGUCUUAUCUACUGGCUUCAUCACGACCGUCCAAUCCCGAUCAGGGAAAAACUGGAAAAAAAUUUCUUCUUUAUAUAUCCCGUCGCCUCCGGCUCGCAGCUGCAAGUUCCAAUCCGCUCCUCCCGAUGCCAAACGCCGUCCCUCCAGCUGCACCGAGCCGUGGCCAUGGUGAAGAAGCCCAACGGCGUUGCCAAGGCCACUGCGGCCUCUGCCGGCGCGGCGGCCGGGCCAUCAAAGGCGAAUCCGUCCACCCCUGGGUCGAUUAAGACCUCGAAGUUUAAGAAGCGUAAGGUCAAGGCCAACCGCGAGAAGGCAGCGGCUGCCGCUGCAACCGUUGACCAAGUCGCAUCGGUGGGCGCAGUCACUGCUGGUGGCGAUGCAUCUGCAUCGGCGGUCUUACCGCAGCCAUCCCAUGUUGCUGAACCUGUGGCACAAAUGCCAGAGUCAGCCACUACUGCUGAGGCAUCACCUGUGACACAGACGCCUAAGCUAGCCACUGCAGAAGCAUCAGCUUCGGCGGCAAAGCCAAAGCCAAAACCCGCUGAUGCUGAUGCUGAUGCUGAUGCUGCGGCUGCACCUGCCGCAAGCAAGGGCAAGGGUGUGGGUGCUGAUAAUAGAAGUGGUGAUGGAAGGAUGAAGAGCAGAAAAAUGAGGACUAGGAAUGGCAAGGGGAAGGAGGUUGAGGAGGAUGGAGGAAGUAACGGAAAAGGGAAGAAAGCUGCUGUGGGCAAGAAAGAAGAAAGGGGUGACAAGAAGGGUGCAGGGUUUAUAUUCAUGUGCAAUGCAAAGACUAAGCAGGAGUGCUACAAGAACCGUUUGUUCGGGCUACCCAGUGGGAAGAUUGGAAUGGUCAAGAAGAUCAGGCCAGGGGCAAAGCUGUUCCUGUAUGAUUUUGAUUUGAAGCUUCUGUAUGGUGUGUACAAGGCAGCAUCAAAUGGAGGGAUGAACCUUGUCCAAGAAGCAUUUAAUGGGAAGUUCCCUGCACAGGUUAAGUUUAAGAUUGAAAAAGAUUGUCUGCCUCUCUCUGAGAGUAGUAUCAAGCAUGCUAUUAAGGAAAAUUACAGUGCAAGGAGCAAGUUUGACCCAGAGCUCACUUCAAAACAAGUCCAUAGGCUACUUGCGCUGUUUAAGCCUGUCAAUGUACCUCAGUCUGCUCCAAAUAAUCACCGUGGAGAAAGGCGCCACUAUGAAGAACGAAGGCAGCCAUAUCAUUAUGAAGAAAGGCGGCCUUCAUUGCCUAUCGAAGAAGUGCGUCAACCACGGUUUGAUGAGGAAAGGCGCCCUGCGGUUGUACAUGUUCCUCUUGAAGAUCCAUAUAGGGAACCAUGCUUUGCUCCACUUCCUGUUGAGUCUCAGCUUGGCCAUUCUUUGGCUGGUGGUUGGGGUGAUAACCACAGAUAUUAUCAACCAGCUGAGCCUCGACACAUUCCUCUUGCUCUAGAGCCUCGACAUGUUCCGCUAUCCUUAGAGCAUCACCAUGCGCCUUCUGUGCCAGAGCUUCGACAUGUCCCAGCUGCUUAUUAUCACACUUUGGUUCCACCCAGUGAUUCAUACUAUCGGUCUGUAGAGAAUCUGGCACCUGAGCGGACUGUGGCUGACAUAACCGCCAGGGAUCCAAUCAUUCCUAGGGAUCACACAAGACUGCCAGGUGAGAUAUCUGCUCGGGCAGACCGCUUGGAGGAUCUCUACCGGACUGGGGGAAUUGCUGCCCGUGGUGCACAUGUGGAGGAGCUGUAUCCUCCAGGGGAGACUGCUUCUCGUGCUGACCGGGUGGGGAUCACCACUCGCGCUGAUAUUUUGGAGGACCUCUACCAUUCUGACAGACUUGUUAUCCGUGCUGUGGACCCUCUGCCUCGUUCAACCUAUCAUACAGCUGCUUACGAGACUCACCCUGCUUAUGCUGAACCAAGCACAAGGCCUGUCUCUACAAGGGUCAGUGGACCCGGUGUCCCGGUUUCAUCACUCUAUUCCUUCUCUGGUGCGCCAGUGUACCGGUGAUGAGUGAUCAGAACUCAUCGCUUUUGUUGAAAUUCUCACCUUCAAUGUGUGAAUUUGAUUUGAUGCCUGUCUUGCUAUAACUGCAACUGUUGUUUACAUUAGGUUCAGUUUUAUAUUUCCUUAUUAAACAUCCAUUGCUGGAUGAACAUGGUUCGGUAUCCAGUUUAUGUUGCAUAUCCUCCCGCUGAUUUACGUGAAUAUGAUGUUCCGUAUCAUGUUCGUUUUGCUAUAGAUAAUGAUGUGAGAUGUGGACAAUGGUAUAAUGUUAGCGUAUCUGGUUCUGAUGUUUUACUUCAGAGAAGGGAAGACCUUCUUCAGCGUGCAGAAGUGCAUGUAUGUGCGUUUGAUAUUGAGACCACAAAGCUGCCCCUGAAGUUUCCAGAUGCUGAAUACGACACUGUAAUGAUGAUUUCAUACAUGAUUGAUGGGCAAGGUUACCUGAUAAUCAACAGAGAGUGUAUUGGGGAAGACAUUGAAGAUUUGGAGUACACACCUAAACCAGAAUUUGAGGGGAAUUUUAGAGUUAAGAAUGUUCCAACUGAGUUGGAUCUGCUUAAAGCAUGGUUUGCUCAUAUGCAAGAGGUUAAACCUGGCAUUUAUGUCACAUACAAUGGUGACUUUUUUGACUGGCCAGUUUUAGAAAAGAGGGCUGCUCACCAUGGGAUAAAAAUGAAUGAGGAGAUUGGUUUCCAAUGUGACAAUAAUCAGGGGGAGUGUCGGGCUAAGUUUUCUUGCCAUCUUGACUGUUUUGCUUGGGUGAAGAGAGACAGUUACCUUCCACAAGGACGCCAAGGUCUAAAGGCUGUUACAAAAGCCAAGCUAGGUUACGAUCCUCUGGAGGUUAAUCCAGAAGAUAUGGUUUGCUUUGCAAUGGAGCAGCCACAGACAAUGGCUUCUUAUUCCGUAUCAGAUGCUGUUGCGACAUACUACCUAUACAUGACUUAUGUCCAUCCUUUCAUCUUUUCUCUUGCAACCAUAAUACCUAUGUCACCUGAUGAGGUAUUGCGGAAAGGAAGUGGGACACUUUGUGAAAUGCUGCUAAUGGUCCAGGCAUUCAAGGGUAAUGUCAUUUGUCCUAACAAGCACCAAGCUGAUCUCGAAAAAUUCUACAACAACCGUUUAUUAGAAAGUGAAACCUAUAUUGGUGGUCAUGUUGAGUGUCUUGAAACUGGUGUAUUUAGAUCUGAUCUUCCCACAAAGUUCCAACUUGAACCAUCAGCAUAUGAGCAACUCAUUGGAAAUCUUGAUCGUGAUCUGCAAUAUGCCAUUUCUGUAGAAGGAAAAUUGGAUAUUGGUUCUGUCACAAAUUAUGAUGUCAAGGAUGCCAUAAAGCAAAAGCUUGUUUCAUUGCGAGAUCACCCAAUACGUGAAGAGCGCCCUCUUAUUUAUCAUCUUGAUGUUGCUGCAAUGUAUCCAAAUAUCAUUUUAACAAAUAGACUCCAGCCACCAUCUAUAGUUACAGAUGUGAACUGCAGAGCAUGUGAUUUCAAUCGUCCUGGCAAAAAUUGCCUCAGAAAGCUUGAAUGGGUCUGGCGCGGAGAGACCUACAUGGCAAAAAAGAACUUUCGUGAUAGAAGAUAUGAAUACAAAGGUCUCAACAAAACAUGGAAAGGAAAAUUGGUAGAAGCUAAAUCCAGUGGAAAUUCUAUGAAAAUUCAGGAAGCGCAGGACAUGGUUGUUCUAUAUGAUUCUUUGCAACUUGCUCACAAGUCCAUAUUGAAUUCUUUUUAUGGAUAUGUCAUGCACAAGGGAGCAAGAUGGUACUCUAUGGAAAUGGCUGGGGUAGUUACAUAUACUGGUGCGAAGAUUAUCCAAAAUGCUCGGUUACUUGUAGAAAAAAUUGGAAGGCCAUUGGAACUGGAUACAGAUGGCAUUUGGUGUGUUUUGCCUGGUUUUUGUCCAGAGAACUUUACUUUUAAGACAAAGGCUGGGAAGAAGCUAACAAUAUCUUAUCCCUGUGUCAUGCUUGAUGUUGCGAGAAAUAACACUAAUGAUCAAUAUCAAGUGUUGUAAAGAAGCAGCAUUCCUACUAGAUCUAAAAGCAAGUUCUUUAGAACUAUUGUUCAUAGAGAAACAGGAGCUUUCCUACUUGAUCCCAUAUGUUGCUCCUUUCAUAGACAUGUUCCUCCUUUUUCCUAUAUGAAGGGAUAGUAGGCUCUCUAGCAAACGAAUCAUGAGUGCAUGGAUUAAUUUAAUUCAAAUCGUCCUACCUUUAUUUUAAGCGUGAGCUUCCUGAUUUGUACACAAAACUAAUGUAUGGUUGUUAGACUAUACAACAUUAUUUUCUUUUUCUAUACAAAUCAUAUAGCCAGCCUACUCGUCCCUUUUUUAUCCAUGGCACACCCCCUGUAAAACUGCAGCUAAUAGUGCACAUUGGCAUUACCCCUUUUUAGGGUAUUUUUAGCAGUCAUGUCACAUUCUUGUGCAGUAAAGAAGUAGUUUAACAAUGUUGAAUAGGUAUUUGAGUAGUAUUGAUGUAGUAAUUUAAUAAUAUUUGGUAAGCAAUUUCAAUAUGGUCAGCCCAAACAUUUAAAUAAUAAUCUAGCUAUUUUUAUUUUUUCUGCUGAUCUGAGUUUUUCUUGACUCAAACGAAGCAGUUGUAUUAUUUAUAGAUGCUUUAAUAUUAUUUUUAGUUAGGAAAUGUACAAUUCUUCUGUUUAUUUUAGCAGGCACAGUAUUGUUCCCAUGUUUGCUGUAUUGUUUAGGUUAACAUGUUUGCUGUAUUGUUUAGGUUAACGUAACCUUCCGUUUUUUUAUCUGAUAUGAGUUCAACCCACUUGGAAAUUUAUUUGAUUCAUAUUUGUGUAUGUUCAGUUAUUGUUCAGAGGGACUAAUUGUAUGGACUUUACUUUAGCUAAGGGUAAGAACCCCACCUCUUUUCUAUGUUUUUUCUAUAUGUUGCCAUGGUGAGCGCAUAUUUCAUCUUGUAGGCAACGUAUGCUAAAUCAACCGGCAAUUAUUGAUUUUAGUUUUGCAUUUUUUUUUUGUCUAACUUAAGCAUUUCCAGUGGUAAGCUCUGGAGAAUUACUGUAUGAUACAAUUUCAUUAAAGCAUACUUAAUUAACAUUGUGUCACAGAUAUAAAGUGUAGACACUAUACGAGUUUCAUUGUCUCUGAAUUCUGAUAUGAAAUAAUGGCUAUAGUAGCAUUGCUGCAAUUAUUCUAAGUGUGUAGCUACCUGUGAAGAAGCAUGAAGCAAAAAUAGAGAUAUUAUUAAGUAAUAUCGUUACCAUUUCUUUUCCAUAUUGCCCCCUAUUUCUAAGUAAUAUCGUUACCAUCUCUGAAUGGUCAAAUGCUCAGAAUGCCUUUAGUGCCACAUUUUCACUGCUAUUGUGUGAUUUGUUAUUAGGUAACUUAGAUAGGUAUAAGAAUAUCUCCACCAGGCUUAGGCUUGGACCAUUUGAGGAGGAUGGAUUAGUACGAACAGCCUCCACAGAGCGUCAACGUCAACAAGUUCUGAUGAGCCAGAAUCUCCUGGAUCUGGCAAACCAUGGCAUUGAACUGGACAUGGACAUCCCGUUCUCUGGGUCGCCAACAACUUGAGGAACCCUGAAUACUACCUCCAUAUCUGUGUAUACGUCGCUACCAGAAAACAAUAGCUCAAAAAAAGUAGAUGAAAAAUGCUAGAUACUGCACGUAGGAGUCUGUUCCAGAAAUCGUUGGCUUUGUUCUUUGCAUUUGUCAGACGUUACACUGUUAUUCUUUGUACAGAUGCUGAACUCGUAACCAUUUUAGUGUUGAUGCACGGUGAUGCAAGGAUGGAAUUGGAUGUAGUGUUUGUUUUUCAGCCGACAAACAUAAUGCCUCUGUUGUCCAUACGUUGGGUUUAUGGGAUUGUAUCUUAACCAUCUCAAUAUUGCUCUCUUUCAUUUA